rnacentral:lncRNA from 1 species
ACUGUGCUUCUGAUGACCCGGCCGCCGCCGCCGCCCUGCAACCGCUCCCCGGGACCCCUCAACGCUGACACUGAUGACCCGCGGCGGGGGCGCUGGGCGCGGGGUGCGCAGGCCACUGGCCGCGGGCUCUCGGGCCCGCUCCUGCCGCCGGCUUCUGCUGCUUCCGCGUGCCGUGGACACUGCCAGAAUUUGUCAAAGGUCCUAGGAAGAAAAGGCUCUUUCACCCCUCCCCUCAAUGAACAGAUGGCGUGUUUGGACUGUUCGCAUUCGCUCCUCAUAGGUGGGAUCCUGGAGGAAGUUAAGGGGUGCUCCGUUCCCUGGGGAUGGGACAGCAGCUCGCCUUUUUACUAAUAGCUAUAAGGGACUGUCAGACAUUUACCUGACUAGACCUUCACCUCAGAGCUCAGAAGGGGAACAGCUCCAGAACUAAAAGAGAGAGCCUCUGGCAGACCCCAAAAGACAGCAUGUGGAGUGAAGCUGGGCUUCCCUGCCCAAUCACUAGGAUCAUUUAUUGCACAAAUACCUGUAUUUUAAGCUGCAGAUUAUUGUGAAUUUUUGUAUUUUCUUCAUUUCCAUUUAGCUUUUUUUCAAUUUUAGAAUAGCCUUUCUCUAGAUAACUCGAGGAAGUGGGAGACGGAAUUUCCUUUGUUUCUGUCUUGAGCCCAAAGGGACAAUUGAGUGUCAGGUAUGACAGGGAUAAAGGGAGAAACUCAGAAAUAAUGCUUUUGUUUUGUUUUGUUUUGUUUUGAGAUGGAGUCUCGCUCUUGUCGCCCAGGCUGGAGUGCAAUGGCAUGAUCUUGGCUCACUGCAAACUCCACCUCCUGGGUUCAAGCGAUUCUCCUCCUCAGCCUCCCAAGUAGAUGGGCUUACAGGCAAGCGCCAUCACGCCCGGCUAAUUUUGUAUUUUUAGUAGAGAUGGGGUUUCACCAUAUUGGUCAGUCCGGUCUUGAACUCCUGACCUUGUGAUCCACCCACCUUGGCCUCUCAAAGUGCUGGGAUUACAGGCAUGAGCCACCGCACCCAGCCAGAGGAAUGUUUUGGGUGCUACACGUGCAGCCCCUCAUGACUGUAUCUCCUCAGAGCUCUUUUCUUCACAUUCCUGAGUGCUUUGUGUUUUGUUUAUUUAAGGGACAAAUGAAUCUCUUCCCACGCCAUGGGAUUUCCCUUGAUUUUUAUAUUGGGAGUGAAAAGAUGAAGCAUGAGACUCUUCAGCUGCAUCUCGAACUGCAUCUAAUCCCAGCACAUCUCUCUCAAUCUUUGAUUAAGUCUGUUCAUCUAAAAGAGAGACACAGGGGAAAAAUGGAAAUGGGACUUUGGAAGAAUGACCAUCCACAUUCCCAUCACAGCCUGAGAUUUCCUACCUGAUUGAGAUUUUCAGUAGAUGGCCCUAGGUCUAGUUUCCCACUUUGGACCUGCUGCCCUUGGCUCCAAUAGAGGACUUCCAAGUAACUAGGAAGAUUUCACCUCUCUUUUGAAACAUAAUGGACAAAUGUGUUUCUUUAGGAUGAGAGGUGCACCUGGCUAGUCAAUCUUUAUUUUCCUAAAAUAAACAGGAUGAAAACUCAAAACAAAAAGAAAUACCUCAUGGGCAAAAGCUCUCCCAAUACAACUAAUACAGACACUCAACAUGGCUUUGUAGAAACUGACCCCUCUCCCAAGUCUUAUGUUUGUCAGAAUUGCAUGCCUAUUUCAAUCGAAGAAAAGUGAUCUGAUCUCUUCAGAUGAAGGUGGGACUUGGAGAUGCUGCUGCCUAGAGUUAACUUGCCAGAGAAAGGAUAAGCAUUCGGGAAGUGCCAGGAUGGGGUAUCAGCUGAACAAUGGCAGGAUCCCUUCUGCCAGUGGGCUGGCUCAGGGAGUAAACCUCCCCGGAAGGAAUUUUGUUUCUCUCUAGAAUCAAAGUGGGCAAAAUGAUCACCUUAUUCGCCUGGAGUGAACCAGGUUGAAACUGAGAAGGCAGACAUGGGUGAUAAGCCAGAUGAAGUCAUAUGUUAUAACUAAGCUAUGUACCUGUAACUUGCCUGGUAGUUUUUUCAUUCUCUCUAAACAGGUCAUAAUAAGUGUUAGUCUGUGAUCCACUAUGGAGAGAGAUUUCUGGAAAGAAUAGAGGCAGUGGUAGAGGGUCCAAGGUUGUUAUUUAAGGAGAUGAAUGUGGGUCAGGUGCCGUGGCUCACACCUGUAAUCCCAGCAUUUUGGGAGGCAGAGGCAGGAGGAUUGCUUAAGGCCAGAGUUCAAGACCAAACUGGCCAAUAUAGUGAGAUCCCCCCCCCAUCUCUACAAAAGAUAGAAAAACUUAGCCAGGCAUGGUGGCAGGUGCUAUAGUCCCUGCCACCAUGGGACUACAGCUCCUGCAGUCCCAGCUACUCAGGAGUUGAGGCGGAAGGAUUGCUUGAGCCCAGAAGUUCGAGGUUGCAGUGAGCCAUGAUCAUGCCACUGCACUCCUCCGUGGGUGACAGAGCGAGACCUGACUCAAUAAUAAUAAUAUUAAUAAUAAUGAUAAUGCAACACAAACUAUCUUUUACCUCUUGAACAAUGAAUGCAGAUGCCAUGACUACAUCUGUUUGUUGGGGACCAGGGAGGCUGCCAGUGAGGAUUCAGGGUGGAAGUAGUGUGUACCCAAUACCUAUUGUGAGAUGUGGCCUGGGGAGCCCUGAGAUUGCCUGGCCAGGCUCACUCACUACCCAGACACCCUCUUCCUGCAUGGCGAGUCCCUCAGCCCCUCCAAGGCUCAAUUCUCAGACAUCGGAGUAAUCCACAUCCUCCAUCUUGAGUUACUCCUCACAAGGCCUGCAAGUUUUCCUAGGAGGAAGGGAAGACAGGGUUGAACCCACACAAUUCUAGAAUCUAGAAUUUGGAGGAUUUCUAAACCAUUUCUGUAAGUCAGCCCUUGAGAACUUGUAGAUUUUCUCAUCAUUUGCAGCAUGAGAGUCUGGAGUAGACUGUUUGGAUUUGACUCUUGGUUCCUUGGGCAAGUUACUUAACCUCUCAGCUGUGUGUCAGUUUCCUUAUCUAAAAAGUGUGGUUAAUAAUAACUGACCUCUCAGAGGUAUUGUGAGGUUACUGUGAUGAUUAAAUUAGUUGAUUCAUAUAAAAUGUUUAAAAGAGUGCCUGGCAUUAUUAUUAAUAGUAAUAAGUUUAGCAUAAGUCUUGCCUGCCAAUAAGGAGCUGGAUUGAAUGACUACUUUGAUUCUAUUUCUUGGCCUUCUCUUCUCUGGACUAGGUGACCCCAACUUUCUCCUUACUCCUGAAAAAUUUAUCCCAGUCUGCUAAGGAAGAGAAAGCCCAUGUGUGCACAUACACACAUGCACCUACACAAACAUUUACAUACAGUUUUGCUCUUCUAUACAGAGUUAAUAGAGCUACUAGAGUGUCUAGGAACCAAUCUGAAAGAGAAAGGAAACACUGCUUUUUUUUUGUUUGUUUUUUGAGAUGGAGUCUCACUCUGUCACCAGGCUGGAGUGCAGUGGCGCAAUUGUGGCUCACUGCAAACUCCACUUCCCUAGUUCAAAUGAUUCUCCUGCCUCAGCCUCCCGAGUAGCUGGGACUACAGGCGUGCAUCACCACACCCAGCUAAUUUUUGUAUUUUUAGUAGAGAUGGGGUUUCACCAUGUUGGCUAGGAUGGUCUUGAUCUCUUGACCUCGUGAUCUGCCUGCCUCAGCCUCUCAAAGAGCUGGGAUUACAGGCAUGAGUCACCACGCCCGGCCGAAACACUGCUUAUUACAAUUUAUAGGUUUAUGUUCAAAAAGUUGCUAAUCUUAUUGCUGUGAACCCCUGCCAUCUCUAGUCCUGCCCACCUAUAGGUACUGCAGACCAAAUUACAGAUUCAGAUUUGCCCAGUUCCUGUUCCUGUCUUGACCAAUCCUAGUAACUUAUUUGGGGCCCAGCCCCAUCUUCAGUGGAAGGUCUAAAAUUGGCCUUGCUUCCUUAAGCUGGGUACACAGUGGGCCCAGGACUAAGCCUCAUGAAGCUUUUAGAGGCCCACUGAGAUUAACCUUUCUCACCAGUGCUCACCUUGUCUUCCUAGUGACCAUGGCUGCCUUCUGUCUAGUUCUAGAGUUGCACUCUAAUUCUCUUCCAGCGCUGUUGCCCUGAUCUACAUAUCUAUCUCUUUUAGAACUUUCCAGCUUAUGUGUCCAAUGUCAGUCUUUCUUCCAAAUAAAUAGAACUUUAUCUUGAUGAAUAUUUAAUGUUCAACCCACCCCUGGUCCCUGGCUAGAAUCAUCUCUGAAAUGUCUAAAGCUCUGCCACUACCUGCACCAGGAGAAGCAAUGUGUCACCACCAACCUAAUAGCAACCAUCAGCUUUGCUGGAGUUAUCCAUUCACCGAACUGAAUCUAUCAGCUUUCCUGAGUUCACUGGGACACUGAUUUGGACCGGACACCAUCACUUGAGAAACAGCGUUAGCACCAGGGUGAACACCACCAGUACCCGACCUGCCUGUAGUUAGCUUCCUCCUCUUUCCCUAUUGACCCACAGAUUAAGUUGCUGCAUGCCCUGGGGCAACACCUGGGGGUAUGACAACUGAA